rnacentral:rRNA from 1 species
CACGUAGGGCGCAAGCGUUGUCCGGAAUUAUUGGGCGUAAAGAGCUCGUAGGCGGCUUGUCGCGUCGACUGUGAAAACCCGUGGCUCAACCAUGUGGUCUGCAGUCGAUACGGGCAGGCUAGAAUUCGGUAGGGGAGACUGGAAUUCCUGGUGUAGCGGUGAAAUGCGCAGAUAUCAGGAGGAACACCGAUGGCGAAGGCAGGUCUCUGGGCAUUAACUGACGCUGAGGAGCGAAAGCAUGGGGAGCGAACAGG